CCUCUCUUAGGUUACAAUCCUGCCUAUUAGCUUCUUGAGUGAAAGUAUAUCAUCAGGUUUGAAAUUUUUAUAAUAAAAAGUUAGAGGUCAAGAGCAAUUUCUCUCCCUGAGGAGGAAUUAAACCACUGGCAUUUAGAAUAACAUUCCCCUCUUUCCGGCUACAAUUACAAACAUCUCUCAGUACCUCCCUGUGUGAGGUAAGGUGAACUUCAGGAAAAUUUCUAUACUAGCUGAUGAGAGCUGAUAUGCUGAGGAAUCUAGAGUCUGGAAUAUGGUUUCUCAGAGUUUCUCAAGGUAUGUUCCACCCGGGUAAGUCACUCCUGACUGCUGGACUAAAAGAGAGUUGCCUGCGCCCCUCUGAGCUGGGGUGUGUGUAAAUACCUCCAGGUCUUUCCAAAGAUUUAAUUCUGGGACCCACAUG